rnacentral:misc_RNA from 1 species
AAAGUCGUAACAAGGUUUCCGUAGGUGAACCUGCGGAAGGAUCAUUAACACUUUUUAUUAUUUUGUUUUUUUUCUAAAAACAAAAUUUAAAACCCCACAAUUUUGGAUGAAUUUAAUUUAUUUAUUUUUUAUUUUAUUUUUUUUAUUAUAACCCUAUUAUUUGACUAACAUUUUUAUUUAAUUAUUAAAAAAUUAAAAAAACAACUCUUAACAACGGAUAUCUUGGCUCUC